AUGGCGUCCAAGACCUGCAUCCUCGUCCUGCUCUUCGUUGCAGCUCUCCAUACCGGGCAUGCUGGUGGCAACCCCGGGCCGUGCCAGCCGGAGGACAUCCGCGUCUCGUCGGUGCUGACGGGGCGGCGGGUCCUGAACGUGCCGCAGCACGAGGUGACGGUGGAGAACCUGUGCUCAUGCCCGCAGAGCGGCGUGGUGAUGUCGUGCAACCUCGGCGAGGUGAAGGCGGUGAUCCUGGACACGACCAAGAUCCGGCUGCUGAACCGGGAGGAUGGGCUGUGCCUCAUCAACAGCGGCUGGCCCAUCUUCAACGGCAAGCCCAUCACCUUCACCUACGCUGCCAAGACGCCGCUCGACUUCACCCUCUAUAACGCCUCGCCGGAAUGCCGGGCGUGA
rnacentral:rRNA from 1 species